UAUCCCCUGUGUGCCUUGUCGACUCAGUUUCCGGAGAGGGAGCCUGAGAAACGGCUACCACAUCCAAGGAAGGCAGCAGGCGCGCAAAUUACCCACUCCCGGCACGGGGAGGUAGUGACGAAAAAUAACGAUACGGGACUCAUCCGAGGCCCCGUAAUCGGAAUGAGUACACUUUAAAUCCUUUAACGAGGAUCCAUUGGAGGGCAAGUCUGGUGCCAGCAGCCGCGGUAAUUCCAGCUCCAAUAGCGUAUAUUAAAGUUGUUGCGGUUAAAAAGCUCGUAGUUGAAUCUGUGUCGCACACCGUCGGUUCACCGCUCGCGGUGUUUAACUGGCGUGAUGUGGGACGUCCUACCGGUGGGCUUAGCCUCGCGAGGGGCGGCCCAACUUAUUAGAUCCCGUCGCAGUGCUCUUUACUGAGUGUCGAGUCGGGCCGGUACGUUUACUUUGAACAAAUUAGAGUGCUUAAAGCAGGCUAUCCUCGCCUGAAUACUGCGUGGAUGGAAUAAUAGAAUAGGACCUCGGUUCUAUUUUGUUUCGGAACCCCGAGAUAAUGAUUAAUAGGGACAGAUGGGGGCAUUCGUAUUGCGACGUUAGAGGUAAAAUUCUUGGAUCGUCGCAAGACGGACAGAAGCGAAAUUUUGCCAAAAAUUUUUCAUUAAUCAAGAACGAAAGUUAGAGGUUCGAAGGCGAUCAGAUACCGCCCUAGUUCUAACCAUAAACGAUGCCAGCUAGCGAUCCGCCGAAGUUCCUCCGAUGACUCGGCGGGCAGCUUCCGGGAAACCAAAGCUUUUGGGUUCCGGGGGAAGUAUGGUUGCAAAGCUGAAACUUAAAGGAAUUGACGGAAGGGCACCACCAGGAGUGGAGCCUGCGGCUUAAUUUGACUCAACACGGGAAACCUCACCAGGCCCAGACACCGGAAGGAUUGACAGAUUGAUAGCUCUUUCUUGAUUCGGUGGGUGGUGGUGCAUGGCCGUUCUUAGUUGGUGGAGCGAUUUGUCUGGUUAAUUCCGAUAACGAACGAGACUCUAACUGAGUCGACAAGGCACACAGGGGAUA
rnacentral:rRNA from 1 species